rnacentral:rRNA from 1 species
UUAGGAAUUUUGGGCAAUGGGCGGAAGCCUGACCCAGCAACGCCGCGUGGGUGACGAAGGCCUUCGGGUCGUAAAGCCCUUUUCCCAGGGAAGAUAGUGACGGUACCUGGGGAAUCAGCCCCGGCUAACUACGUGCCAGCAGCCGCGGUAAUACGUAGGGGGCAAGCGUUGUCCGGAUUUAUUGGGCGUAAAACACUCGCAGGUGGUUCAUUGCGUCGUGCGUGAAAGACCCUGGCUCAACUGGAAAGUGUCGUGCGAAACGGAUGGACUUGAGGGCAGUAGGGAGAUGCGGAAUUCCGGGUGUAGUGGUGGAAUGCGUAGAGAUCCGGAGGAACACCAGCGGCGAAGGCGGCAUCCUGGACUGUGCCUGACACUCAGGAGCGAAAGCGUGAGAAGCGAUCC